rnacentral:rRNA from 1 species
GACGAACCGUGCGAACGUUAUUCGGAUUCACUGGGCUUAAAGGGCGCGUAGGCGGACGAGCAAGUCCGGGGUGAAAUCUUUCGGCUCAACCGGAAAAGUGCCUUGGAUACUGCUCGCCUUGAGUGAGGUAGGGGCAUGUGGAACUUCCGGUGGAGCGGUGAAAUGCGUUGAUAUCGGAAGGAACGCCGGUGGCGAAAGCGACGUGCUGGCCCUCAACUGACGCUGAGGCGCGAAAGCCAGGGAGCAAACGGG